UACGUAGGGGGCUAGCGUUGUCCGGAUUUAUUGGGCGUAAAGAGCGUGUAGGCGGCCAGGUAGGUCUGCUGUGAAAACUCGAGGCUCAACCUCGAGACGUCGGCGGAAACCAUCUGGCUAGAGUCCGGAAGAGGAGAGUGGAAUUCCUGGUGUAGCGGUGAAAUGCGCAGAUAUCAGGAAGAACACCUAUGGCGAAGGCAGCUCUCUGGGACGGUACUGACGCUGAGACGCGAAAGCGUGGGGAGCAAACAGG
rnacentral:rRNA from 1 species